rnacentral:rRNA from 1 species
UACGGGGGGAGCAAGCGUUGUCCGGAAUUAUUGGGCGUAAAGAGCUCGUAGGCGGCUUGUCGCGUCGGCUGUGAAAACCUGGGGCUCAACCCCGGGCCUGCAGCCGAUACGGGCAAGCUAGAAUUCGGUAGGGGAGACUGGAAUUCCUGGUGUAGCGGUGAAAUGCGCAGAUAUCAGGAGGAACACCGGUGGCGAAGGCGGGUCUCUGGGCCGAUAUUGACGCUGAGGAGCGAAAGCGUGGGGAGCGAACAGG